UACGGGGGGAGCAAGCGUUGUUCGGAUUUACUGGGCGUAAAGGGCGCGUAGGCGGCCACCGCAAGUCGACUGUGAAAUCUCCGGGCUUAACCCGGAAAGGUCAGCCGAUACUGCGGGGCUAGAGUGCAGAAGGGGCAACUGGAAUUCUCGGUGUAGCGGUGAAAUGCGCAGAUAUCAGGAGGAACACCGGUGGCGAAGGCGGAUCUCUGGGCCUUACCUGACGCUGAGGCGCGAAAAGCUAGGGGGAGCGAACGGG
rnacentral:rRNA from 1 species